CUAGAAGUGUUCUGUAAUCAGAUUUAUCUUUCUAUUCAAUCAAAUUGAUUAAACCGCAGCAAUGUAGAUAUCAUGAAUUACCUGUGUUACUAUGGCAUUAGACUCAGAAAUCAAUUUUUGAGGGUACCGAUCCUAGCCUGUUUCAUCCUCAAAACCACCAUUACUUCCAUCUUCAACAAUCAUCACUACCAUUAAUCCAUCAUCUUCUGCUAUUGCUACUGUAAAUCGAAAUUUGAAGGCUAAUUUGAUUGAAUCAUCUCAGAUUUGCGACUAAUUUGACGUAUCUAUGUGUUUCUAUCUACAUCAACAGCAUCAGUAGUUAUGGAGAAUAAUAAAGGUUAAUAAUACAGUUGAAGAUAAGUCAUAAUGGAAUACAUCCUACAUUGUUCAAUAAAUUGCUUCAGCUAUUGUGUGAAUCGAAUGAGACAAGGUCCAGUUGGUGGGAAUCUUUCUUGUGUUGCAGCUAUGACUGCAUCUGGGUCUAUGAUGGAUACAAGUACUGGUAUAGUAAUUGAAUCAAGAUGGAUUAAUACUCCAAUAUGAAGACUGUCUAUUUCUGAUGGGUAUACAACUAACGGUGUUGAGUUACAUGUGCUACAAAUGCUCUGCAUAAUCUAUGUCUCAUUAUAGUUUUUAACAAUUUCAAGCUAUUUCCUCCCGGUUUUGGUCUUCUAUUGGUUCUGGGAAUAAGCUUAAUGUUGUUGUUGUUACCACUCUGCACCAAGGCUCUUCAUUCUGAUCUUUAAGAAUUUUCAGUUCUGACAUCCAGCUUGCUCCAGAAUUUGUGUACGACUAUGGCCUGCAACACAGAAUGCUGAUUACAAAAGAUGCACAAUGUGGUUACGUUUUGUUACGAUUGGACUAGCUUCAGAACCUCGGUGUCAGCUGCAAGCUUGCUGGUUUUCUUCUCAUUAUGUGUAAGUGCAGGUUGAUUAUAUUUCUAUGGUAUGUGCUUCUUCCUACAACCAAAUACUACAUUUCUUACGUCAACUGAAACUGCACCUACUACUCAUAUCUUCCUACAACCAACUAUUGUUGCACUACAUUUUUUUGUCUACUACUCCACCAACUGCAGCUGUUGUGAUUAGCUCUUGUUUCCUGUUGUGAGUGUGUGCAGUGUCAGUGUCCAAUCUCAAGUUGUCUGUGUAGCCCACUUGAGAUUGAGGGAUGGUAAUAGCAUAGAGGUUAUGAGUGUGUGCAAUGACAGUAUGAUAGCAUAGAGGUUGUGAGUGCGUUACGUAUGUGCCGAGUGAGCGUGUGAGAGAAACCAGUUUGUGAGAGUCGAAUACAUAUACCCGGCAGUGUUCUGUAAUCAGAUUUAUCUUUCUAUUCAAUCAAAUUGAUUGAACCGCAGCAA